rnacentral:SRP_RNA from 1 species
GGGUGUGGUAGUGUGUGCCUGGAGGUGGGAGGAUUGCUUGGGUCCUGGAGUCCUAGGCUGUAUACCAGUCAGGUGUCUGCACUAAGUUUGGCAUCAAUAUGGUCACUUCCCAGGAGCAAGGGACCACCAGGUUGCCUAAGUAGAGUGAACCAGCCGAGGUCCGAGACACAGCAGAACAGAACUCCCAUGCUGAUCAGUAGUGGGAUACUGCCUGUGAACAGCCACUGCACUCCAGCCUGAGCAACAUAGUGAGAUCCUAGCUCU